CUGCUGGAACACGUAACAGCGGGAUCCCUGCGAGUAUGGACGCCCUGCAGGCACAACGCGCUGGAGCAGGCGGCGUCGGGGAAGGGGACGCCGAGGAGAGGUACCGCGCUCUCGCCUUUGACACGGCUGUGAGCACCCUGGUGGCCGUGGCCGUGUACGCGGUGGUGAAAGUGAGCCUGGACGGCUUCAGACAGUGGCGGGCCAGGAUCUCGGUGCUCGUCGUGGGUUCGGGACCCGUGGGGCUGACGGCCGCGCUGGUCGCUGUCCGCUCCGGUAAGGUGCUGAAACUGACCGUGCUGGACGAGAGGUACCGCGCGGCGCUGCUCUGCCGGCCACAGCAGAUCGCCUUGGAUCCCCGCAGCGUGAAGUUUCUGCUGGGACUCGGGGUGGACUUUGAUAACAUGGAGGGCUGUUGGCACAACGAGCAUUUCUUCACCCGGAUAGGCGUGUUUCAGGAGUACCUGCUGAGCAUCCUAGAGCAGAAGAAACUGAAGGUGGACGUCAAGGUGCAGCUGGGAACCAAGGUUCCCACUCCUGAGAUCCGUACCCCCAGCCUCUACUUCGACCUGUCCGCCUAUGGCGUGGAGGCCCUCCGAGAGCCCAGAAAUCCCGCCGCCAAACCUGGCUUCCACCUAAAGAUCUAUGGCACCUUCAGGAACCGCUACAUGGCCCUCGCCUGCCCGGCCUCUGACACCAAGAUGGUCCGCUUCCUCCGGCACACGGCCAACUCCUCUAUCAUGAAGAAUAUUUUCCACCAGUCCUUCAAUGUUUAUAAGACGGACAUCGAGCCUCGUCUCAACGACGUGACGCUGCACCGCAUGCAGUGCAGCCGGCGUCUCUUUGAGAUUCAGUUAUCACACAGACGCAUCAGCGCUGCCUUCAUAGAGGGGGACAAUGUGGCCGUCACCGUGGAGGGGGAGGCGGCGCGCGUCCUCAACUUUGACACAGGUUGCGGAGUGAAUCUGGGUAUGCAAGGACUGGAGUCAAUGGGGACGUUCAUUUACCAGACAGCCACAGCUGUGGACCAGAACGAUGUUCUAGAGGCACUGUCUGCUAAAAUGCAACACUCCAGACAGGUGGCCGAGAGCUUCAAGCAGACAGGCCUGGCUCAAUCAAUUUAUGAAUGAAACACGAGGACGGGCAGGUGAAUGCAUAGUGCCCCCUAGUGGGAAGUGGUGGUGGAUUGUUUGUGUUUACACUGAAUGUUUACAAUGAAUCACUGUUGAUUACACACUGAAAGCAGAUGAACGGACGUGAUCUUUGCCUGGAUGAAUACAGGGUGUAAAGAUGUGACCACAAGUCGUUGUGAUGUACAAUGGGUGGAGCUAUUUAAUUAUGCAUGGAGCACACAUGCCAUGGACACAUUUGCUACGAGGCCUUUGAAGUUCUGUUUUUUCAGGUUGCAAAGCUCGUCAAUUCAAACAGAUGCAGAUGAGAUCUGACACAAUCUACAGUACAUUGUCUAUUAAUGCACUGCACUGGAUUUGGAUUCCUCUGUUAAGUGUCAGAACGAACCGGAUGAGGAGUUUCCUAAAUCUAGUCCAUUGUGUUCUCUUAACAUCGGUGUAAUGAGACUGUUGUGCAGCAACAUCAACAGGAGCUGAAUAAUGCAUUAAACUGUUAUUGUAUGUGAUUUAACAGAGGAGCACAUGUGUAGAAUCUGAUAUCCAGUCUAUCGUGCCGUUUGUCCUUGUGUUUUGCGUGGCGCAAACUGUGUUGAUGACGUUGUGAAGUAUGUGUGUGCUCUUUUUUGUGUACUUUUUAAGCAGGUUUCAAAAGCUCCCAUUAAAUAGGGCAAUUGUAAUAUCACAAACUAAUUUGGCUGGUGUCACAUUCAUUUCUAAAGAACUGAAGUGACAUUUGAGAGAUUGGGAGUAUAAUAAAAUCCUGCUCCUGUUGAAGUGCCAAUAAAUGUGGUGGUUGGGUAUAAGUUAUAUGGAUCGUCUUUACAUAGAACCCCUGUAUGUUUAAUUGGAGAUGAACGCAAUUUAACAAAGGUUAAAGCAACCAGUGUAGGAACUUGUUAGGGGUUUACAAAGAUUUUUGCAAAUCAAAUGAAAAUAAAAUGAAAAAAAACGAUGAGCCUUAAAACAGACUUAUCUUUUCAGAGUCCGAUUACUCCGUAAGCAGAAAGUUUGACAUGCUGUUGUAAAUAACUAUAUAUUUGUGAGCUGCACCCCAUUUAGACAGAACGGUAUCAUGUGUUGUUUCCAUAAUAGUUGAUAUGAGGCACUGCUGCCCUCUACUGGUGCAGCCUGUCUGUUGCACCUGCUUAGCCUCAAACUUCCACACCUGACUAAUCUCUUGUAUUUUAAGUGUAAUCGAUCCCUUAAAUAUAACUUAAGCCCACUGAUGGAACUGAGAGGGGCCCAGGAUCGUCCGAUAGGACACAAGUUGCCUUUCUGGUAUUCUUUUCUUUGGUAAAGCACUUUGUAAAAUUGUUUAGAAACAAAUGAUUAAGGGUAUUUUUAUGGCAUACUAUACUAGUACAUAUUCCAUGACACUUUUUGUAAUGUCACGCUGUACAUUGGUAUUUCCUAUAGCCUUUCUUUUCCUAUUUUACUAUCAGGUAUUUUAAGAACUUUUUGUGAAAUUUGAUUUAAUUACAAUUUCAUUUUUAACUCUU
ensembl:lncRNA